rnacentral:rRNA from 1 species
CAGAGUCCUCAGGCAACACAAAUUUUCAUCAACAGAUACCGUGACGAGCUUAAUAUGAUCCGUCCGACAGUAAGAUGAACGAGUGCACCAAAUGCUCCAGUGGGACCGCAGAGACCCAAGGCACCUCCGACGGGUUUUGCAAAAAUUCACGUUGACGCAGCAGUACGACCAGGGAGAGGUGGGUCAGCGGCAGCGGUUUGUCGUGAUUCAAAAGGAAAUUAUUUAGGAAGUUUAGCCCUGGUGGUGGAAGGAGUGGAUGAUCCGGCUUCUCUGGAAGUUAUGGCAUGCAGGGAGGCAAUGUGUUUGGCAGAGGAUCUCCUUAUCAACAACUACAUUGUUGCCUCUGAUUGCAAGCAAGUUGUCUCCGACAUAAACUCGGGUAGUAGAGGGCAAUAUGGUGUCAUUCUGUCCGAGAUCAAUCUUCGAGCUAUCCUUUUUCAAUGUAUUUUUUCUUUUGAGUGUCGUGUUGUAAAUUAUGAAGCACAUAGUCUAGCCAGAUUCUCUCUUAGAAGGGGACCGGGGCGUCAUAUGUGGCUUGGCCAAUCCCAUGACCUAUCUUGUAUCCCACUCUCUGUGGACUUCGAUUAA